UACGUAGGUGACAAGCGUUGUCCGGAUUUACUGGGCGUAAAGAGCGCGCAGGCGGUCGUUCAAGUCGAGUGUGAAAGCCCCCGGCUCAACUGGGGAGGGUCACUCGAUACUGAUCGACUCGAAGGCAGGAGAGGGUAGUGGAAUUCCCGGUGUAGUGGUGAAAUGCGUAGAUAUCGGGAGGAACACCAGUGGCGAAGGCGACUACCUGGCCUGUUACUGACGCUGAGGCGCGACAGCGUGGGGAGCAAACAGG
rnacentral:rRNA from 1 species